rnacentral:rRNA from 1 species
UACAGAGACCUCAAGCGUUAUCCGGAAUCAUUGGGCGUAAAGCGUACCGAUAGGUGGUUAAGAAAGUCAGAUGUGAAAUCUCCGAGCUCAACUCGGAAUCUGUCAUUUGAAACUUCUUGACUAGAGGGGCAAAGAGGAAGCUGGAACGAACGGUGUAGUAGUGAAAUGCGUUGAUAUUGUUCGGAACACCAAUAGCGUAGGCAGGCUUCUGGGUGCCACCUGACACUGCUAGGACGAAAGCGUGGGGAGCGAAUGGG